GCCAGUGUGGUGUAGUCAGUUGAGUGCCAGACUAUAAUUCUGGAGAUCAUGGUUCAAUUCCCUGCUUAGCCA